AUUGAACGCUGGCGGCAUGCUUUACACAUGCAAGUCGAACGGUAACAGGCCGCAAGGUGCUGACGAGUGGCGAACGGGUGAGUAAUGCAUCGGAACGUGCCCAGUCGUGGGGGAUAACGCAGCGAAAGCUGCGCUAAUACCGCAUACGAUCUAUGGAUGAAAGCGGGGGACCGUAAGGCCUCGCGCGAUUGGAGCGGCCGAUGUCAGAGUAGGUAGUUGGUGGGGUAAAGGCUCACCAAGCCAACGAUCGGUAGCUGGUCUGAGAGGACGACCAGCCCCACUGGGACUGAGACGGGGCCCAGACUCCUACGGGAGGAAGCAGUGGGGAAUUUUGGACAAUGGGCGCAAGCCUGAUCCAGCAAUGCCGCGUGCAGGAAGAAGGCCUUCGGGUUGUAAACUGCUUUUGUACGGAACGAAACGGUCCUGGUUAAUACCUGGGGCUAAUGACGGUACCGUAAGAAUAAGCACCGGCUAACUACGUGCCAGCCGCCGCCGUAAAAC
rnacentral:rRNA from 1 species